GCAGAUGUGGCGGAAUUGGUAGACGCGCUAGCUUCAGGUGCUAGUGUUCGAAAGGACGUGGGAGUUCAAGUCUCCCCAUCUGCACCA
rnacentral:tRNA from 1 species